rnacentral:rRNA from 1 species
AGCGAACGCUGGCGGCAGGCUUAACACAUGCAAGUCGAACGCUCACCUUCGGGUGGGAGUGGCAGACGGGUGAGUAACACGUGGGAACGUGCCCUUCGGUUCGGAAUAACCCUGGGAAACUAGGGCUAAAUACCGGAUACGUCCGAGAGGAGAAAGGUUUACUGCCGAAGGAUCGGCCCGCGUCUGAUUAGCUAGUUGGUGGGGUAACGCCUACCAAGGCGACGAUCAGUAGCUGGUCUGAGAGGAUGAUCAGCCACACUGGGACUGAGACACGGCCCAGACUCCUACGGGAGGCAGCAGUGGGGAAUAUUGGACAAUGGGCGCAAGCCUGAUCCAGCCAUGCCGCGUGAGUGAUGAAGGCCUUAGGGUUGUAAAGCU